UUUUUUUUUUUUUUUUUUGAGAUGGAGUUUCGCUCUUGUUGCCCAGCCUGGAAUGCAAUGGCACGAUGUUGUCUCACUGGAACCUCUGCCUCCUAGGUUCAAGCGAUUCUCCUGCCUCAGCCUCCUAGGUAGCUGGGAUUACAGGCAUGUGCCACCAUGUGGGGCUAAUUUUGUAUUUUUAGUAAAGACGGGGUUUCUCCGUGUUGGUCAGGUUGGUCUCGAACUCCCGACCUCAUGUGAUCCGCCUGCCUCGGCCUCCCAAAGUGCUGGGAUUACAGGCGUGAGCCACCGCACCCAGCCUUUCUUUCUUUUUUGAGACUGAGUCUCGCUCCAUUGCCCAGGCUGGAGUGCAGUGGUGUGAUCUUGGCUCACUGCAACCUCCACCUCGCGGGUUCAAGCAAUUCUCCUGCCUCAGCCUCCUGAGUAGCUGGGAUUACAGGUGCCUGCCACCACGCCCAGCUAAUUUUUGUAUUUUUAGUAGAGACGGGGUUUCACCACUUUGGUCAGGCUGGUCUCAAACCCCUGACCUUGUGAUCCACCCGCUGUGGCCUCCCAAAGUGCUGGGAUUACAGGCGUGAGCCACCGCGCCCAGCCAGUUUGUGAUUCUUUAUGAUACAUUAAUGCUUUCAUUUUCCUAGGGGCUUGGAUGUGCAUGGGGCUGGAAUUGGAAAAAAUUUAUCUGGGCAGAAUUUUUUCUUCUUCCAAAAUCAAGGUGGAUGGUUCUGGGCACAUGGCUGGUGCUUUUUAGGUACUUGUUGAUCUGCCCGUUGGGGUAACUCCUGUUUCACCUUCUAUGGGAAGGAAGGGAAUAUCCCGUGGGAGUUUGUUUUUUUUCCUUGACUAUUCUCAUCCUUGUGAUUGCAUUCUGGCUGGGCAGUUAGAAAGGAGGGGGUCAGAUGGGCCACUUCCCCAUCCCUAGGGUCAAGCUUCACUCUCUCUCAGCUCCCUCUCGGAACUAAGACCUGAGCAAAGGGGUCAGUCUGUACAGUGCAGCCACCCUGACUGACUGUUAGAGAAAUAAACAAGAUGUUAUUGUGCCGAGGGGAGAAGAGUUACAUCAAAAGUAUCUCAGAGAGGAAGAAAGCCAAAUUUCUUUUUAUAUGAGAUGCAUGGAUAGGGGGAGAGAGAGAGAAAAAAAUGCCUGGGUAAUUAACUUAAUAGGUUUCUUAAAGAAUGCCCUUGUGAGUGAUGUUCAACACAUUCAAGUGUUGACAAGAAGGCAUUGAACUUGACGCCCACGCAGCGGGCAGAAGCAUGCUCUCGGCUCCAACACACCUUCUUUGUCUGAAACUUGUGGUAAGACUCAGUGCUGGGUUGUGAAAUCUGUCCCAGGGAAUCCGUGCUGCAGGAGCUCCAAGGUCAAGCCCCGUGCUUCUGGAUAGGGUUGGGGCUGGCAAGGGUGACCACUCGGAACUAAGAUCCCACGAGUAGGAGAGCAGAGGAAGAGGCCCUCAAGUCAGACACCUAGAGAUGCUGCCAUGCCUGGGAGAGACCCGUGAGCUCUAGGGCUCCCAAGACAACCUGCCACUCUUGGGGGUGGUCGGAACAAACCUCUGCUUCUUCCCUGCAAAUCCUGGUUGCCUUGGGAAACUUGGGUCUGAUGUCCAGGAACACGUGUGAGACCCUAGGUCUUCCCUAUCUUGAUGAACUAAGGGAGGAAUCUAGGUGAAUGUAUCAAUGUGGAUUUUCCCUUUCUCCUAAAUCGGUGGUAGAUAGAGAGGCCCCAAAUCAUUGCUGGGCUGCUGAAACAGGAGGCUUUGACUUGGAUAAGGAGGAGUGUGUCUGUGUGUGUGUGUGUGUGUGUCUGUGUGUGUGUGUGUGUCUCUGUGUGUGUGUGUGUGUGUGUGUGUGUUGUGCGUCUAUAUAUUUGUAUUUACAGAACAUUUUGGGUUGCUCUUGACUGAAACCACAAGAAGCAUAAAUCACUGUUCCUAAAACAAAGCAGUCUCCUCUGCCAGGCAGCCUGCCUCAGAGGCCCCAGAUGUGGAUGGGGCCCUUGGCCUCUGCCUGUUGCUGGCAGAUCAGCCUGCCUUCCCAUUGUCAGUCACCCACUCUUCUCAUCACCAGCCACCCACUCAACCACCCUCUCUUUCUUUUUGUUUCUUUUUUGAGGCAGGGUCUCAUUUUGGCACUGAGGCUGGAAUGCAGUGGUUUGAUCAUAGCGCACUGCAGCCUUGGCCUGCUGGGCUCAGGCAAUCCUCCUACCUCAGCCUCCCGAGUAGCUAGGACUACAGGCACACACCACCAUGCCUGGCUAAUUUUUUUAAAAAGUUUUAUAUUUUAUAGAGUUGGAGUCUUGCUGUUUCCCAGGUUGGUCUCGAACUCACUCCUGGCCUCAAGCAGUCCUCCCACCUUGGCCUCCCAAAGUGCUGGGAUCACAGGCGUGAGCCACCCUGUCUGGUCCCAUCCUCCCUGUCUGUUACAUUAGGCUCAGGCUUAUCAGGAGAUGGGUGUUUUCAGGCUGGGACCUGAAUCUCAGGGUCUCUGUCACAACCAUAGUGGCCAGAUUUGUAAAAUGGAUAAAAAAGGUGACAUGAAUGCCUUUGUGAAAGAACUUCUCUUUCUUAGAUACUUUACCAAAUAAAGCAAACUAAGUCUACGGUUGCCUGGCCAUAGACCCUGUGGAAGCUCACUUUAAGGGAGCAAUCCAAAAGGCCCAAAUCCACACCCUUGGUUAACGGGUUUCCAGCCUGGGAGAAGGACCUGCACUGCCUCUCACCCAAAGUCAUAUACCAAGACUGCGCGUGUCUGUGUAUGCCGUGGGGAGAGUGGGGUGAACUAGAAAUGCUCCUCAUUUACAAUCAGUCAUCGUGGAAGGGAAUCUCCUCUUGCAACCAGAAAGUCUGGGCUAGCUCUCUGCUCCUGUUAUUGGCCCCAGCCCUUGUUCUGGGGGCUCAUUUCUGCCUGCAGCAGCUGGUUCCCACCAAGGCAAUGCCAUUAUUCUGGAGAGGCAGGAUUCCAGAAUUUGCAUAAACUCCUAGGGCAUUUCUGUUUCUAGGAAAAGGGAAGAGGUCGUCAUCUUUCUGCCUAACUCCCCAUGCAUUAGGACAUGAUAGUCAAGAAAAGGCUGUGGGCUUAGCUGGGGAUGCCCGUUAAUUUUACAGUCCAAUUUCUCCUUCCUUCACCACCCCAUCCCUUCUCCAGGCUGGAGACGUAUUCCUGCUAUGUCUCCUCUUUUCCCCAUUGCCCAAGUUGAGUUUCCUAAGGGCAAAUGGAGCAGGUUAAUCAGAUUCCUCACUUGCCUGUUUGGCCCAGGUGUGUGGUCAGGGAAGUAUCCUGGUAGCUUAGUUCAGCGCACAUUGAUCGAGUGCCUACCAGGUGCAGAGACAGGGCUGGGUACUACAGGGGAUACAAAAAUUAAUAGUCUCACUGUUAAUAAUUCCUGCCUUUAAGGAGUGUUCAUUCCAUGGGAACCACACAGCUGCCUGCACCAUCCCUAUAUUCUUAGAGAAUAGAUGCUCCCUGCUCAGGAGUCAGGAGGGAGCUGUGAGCAUCCCAGAGACAAGCAGGUUUCCAGAAACUAUCUCUCAGUAAUGCAGAACCCACCUUCCAGCAUCGAAACUGGGGGCCGCAUGAACUUUGACAAGGAGACAACAAUCAAGGUGGGACAGAUUUGUGCCUCAAACUCUCUUGAAAAUAUAAUUUUCUUCCCUUGGAUAUAGCUGGCUCGAGUGAAGCAGCCUUCUUUUAAUCUUGACAAAAUAAUGAAAUCAGAUCAGUGAUAUUGGCGUGUUUCAUGUGGACACAUGAUGCUGGGAGAACUUCAGAGCUAGGCAGCUCCCACAACUGCCAAGAGACUGAAGCUGAACUUCAAGGCAGAGUCCUCCAGAGUGGCUUAGGCAAAGUCUCCACCUUGCUGAAGCCCUUCCUGGUCCACCACUCCUUGUGGAGGAGAGGGGAAGGUGGGAGCCAGGGUCUGGGGCUUUGCCGGGCUGGUGGCCGCCUCAACAUUGGCUUUGGGAUGAAUCUCAGGACCAGACUUCCCCGCCCUUGUGUGGGAGGUGUGAGGGGCUGGAGCUGGGAGGCAGGAAGUGAGCGCAGAUGGGCUACCGCCUGGACAGCUGUGCGGGGAACAGAGCACAUCUGUCUGGGUGUGAGUGGGGCCCCUCCCCACAACCUCUGCUGAUUCUACAUGUUUGAUAGGGUGUGGGCUGAGGGUGUGGGCUGAGGGUCCCAAAUGGGGAAGAAGAUGGGAAAGUCUGACUAUAGAGCAGGAACGAGGGUUGCUGAUGGGGUAUGUUCAGAUGGAGGGAGAGGAGGGUUGAAGAGAAAGUGGAAAAUGGAAGCAAACAGAUCAAAUUUUAUCUUUCUCAGGAUGGGCUCUGGGCUUUCAGCGGCUCUCCAAGCCCCAGGGUCUGAUGUCUGUUCCUCUGGGAAGCUGCCCUAGACCCCUGGCCGCCCCACCCACAGGGUGCUCCCUCCUGGUGCUUCCAGUAUCUUACAUCGUAGUUGUGAAAGUCCCUGGGAUAACUGCUCAUUUUUCUACCUUACCUACUGGACUGCGGGUGUAUUAAGAUCAGAGACCUUGUCUCUGUGACUGAAUCCUCACUCUGUAGACGUGUGUUGAGUGAAUGAAUGAUUUUAUGACCUUAACCAACACAAAUUUUUCUAUUUAAUUCCUUAAUUUUUCUCUAAUUGGCUUUAAAAAUUGCUAGGAAAGCUUAUCCCAAGUAGAUGCCUGGGAGAUCUUUGGGAGUUAGAAGCUGGAGUAGAUUUCUCAUCAGAAAUUUGCCAGCAGGCCUGGAAGUGAGAGAGCCUUUUGCUCUUUUCAGGGAGCAAAGCAGAGAGGAAAGGCUCAUUCUAGAAACUGCACACCCUGACUUGGCUUCAUGGCCAUUUGUGUGGCCUCCUUGGGGCGGUUGGUCUCCCUCCACAUGAAGCUGUCAUCUGCCUGAUAUUGAGCCAGCUAGGCAGGGAGUAUGGAUCACACAGACCUCUGCAGGCUCAGGAGGUGGAUAAUUUCCCCACAUCUCUCCCCUCCCUCACCUCUCUCUGGUUUUCACAGUGCAAUGAAAGGAUGUGGGAGUUUGAGACCCAUCUCUGCUGUGUGGCCCUGGCCAUGUGCAGUGGGUAAGUACAUCAGCAAGCAAACUGGCCUCAAGAAUCCCGCCCUAUCCUGGGCAUCUGGGGUUGAGGCUGGCUGUGCCAACCUUUGCACAGGGUUUCAAUCUGACCUCACUCAGAAAACGGAGCCACUUGCUUAGAGUCCCUCUCUCUGAACACGCUCUCCCCUCUGGAGGAAAAGCAUUGCAAUCCCAAGCUCCUGCUGCUGCCGUACAUCUGCAUCUUAUUCAUCUUUGAAGCUCCUGCAAUGCCUCCAACGGGGACACAACUAAAGGAAGCUCUCAGAACGCCCAGCUAUCCCCACUGCAGAAGGCUCUCCCUGAAAGGGCACAGGUGGAGGACGUUUGCAUUUAUCUGGAGACAGUUCAUGGAGAAACACAAAGAGGUGUCCUGACAAGACAACAGGUCCACAGCAGUCGUCAUCAUGAGUGCUCACCAUAUGCCAGGGUUCAUCUUUUAAAAUCCUUAACCAAACAACCAAACUGUGGUUGGGAUUAUUCUCUUUUUAUAGGUGAGAAAACUGAGGCUGAAAGCCAUUGGGUGGUUUGCCAAAGCUGAGAAGUAGCUGAGCUGGGGUUUGUACUCACACCACGGUGACUCGGAGGCCCAAGCCAGUUCUGACACACUGCCUUCCCAUGACAUUCCCACGACAGGUUCCCGAGGUCGUUGGAAUGCUUACACAUUUCAGCAACUUCAUGGCAACUGCCCAGCUCGACCCAGAAGAUAAUACUACCUUGUACUCCCCCUGCCGCUUCCUUCCUCCAGGCAGCUCACAGACAUGACCUCAUUCCCUCUCCCAGAGUCCCAUAGGGGUGAAGGACAGGGUGGGGAUCGUUAACUCUGCUUCCUAGGGAGGAAAGGGAGGCCCAGAGAGGGAUGCUGGCCCACCCUGGGUCAUCCAGCCAGCUAGCGGGAGAGCUGCAACUGGAAAUCAGGCUUCCCUGCCCUCGGGGACAGUUAUUUAGCCUCCUGGAUGUGAGCUAGAAUCACCCCUAAGAUGCAGCAAUUGGGGUACUCCUCUUGGGGUACUGGGACUCAGUGGCUGAAACAGCUCCAAGAGAGUUGGGCCUGUGCUGAAAACAGAAAUCCGAGAUGCAUAUAAAUUCAAUCCGUAUGAGAAGAGCAGGGUGGCCUGGGAGGAGUGGUCACCGCAGUGGCUCCACCUCCUACCCGGCCACCUGCAGCCCUGCCUGGGCUGCUCUUGGUCUCUCUGUGCCCAGCUUCCCUGGCCGGAUGCCCUGGGGGCCAGAGCAGCCGCAGGUGCGAUGAAAAGAACACUGGCCUUGAGGUCAUGGGACCUGGGGAGGAUAUUCACCAGGGGCCCCUAAGUUAGUCAUUUUAGCUCUCAGCUUUUCCAUUUUUCAUUCAAAAAAUGGGGACUCUAACUCCAUGAAAGAGACAUUGUGUGUGAAAUAUUUCAUCAUAAGCUGUGAAGCCUGCAAAGAAACUCCUGGUGUUCUCUGUAGCCUGAUUUCAUCUCUACUAAACGCUAUUUUGAAAAUGAUUUUGAAGCUGGUGGGUCACAUAGAAGGAUGGCCUGAGCAUCCAUCCAUCUUCCCUCCGGUGACCCUUUCACUUCGUGUCUGUGGUACCCAGUGCCUGGUACUGAAUGUUCCUGGGUGGCCCCGUGGUUCGGCAAACUUUCUGGAAAGGCCCAGGUAGUAAAUAUUUGAGGCCUGGUGGGCCACAUAUGGUUUUGGUCA